GGGGAGGAGCCUACUAAGCCUGCUAGUAACCUACAAUCAACGUGACAUCCCAACGAGAAACGGAGCCCAUUCUCUUUCAGUUGGUAUCGAUCUAGGCGAUCCCGCCUACACAGGCAGCGGAGGCAGCAACGGGCGGCAGCGCUGUUGGACCGGAUUGCCGUACUCAAGAAUGCGCCGUGGCAGCAGGGGGUCCUUGACUAAAGCAAUGAAGUUAUAAACGUAGGUAACGGUAAGAUGGGUGCAUUUGCUACAUGGCGGUGGUAAAGAUGUGGUUUGGCUGCAGCGGGACUUCCGCGUGUACUGGUGAGCGUGUCCGACUCAGACAAGGGCAGCCAGGCGAGUGUGGGGCCGGGGGUAGAGGCGCCGGAUGGGGUACCGGGCGUCCUGUGUUGGGCUUAAACUGUGUGCUGGCAUGAGGGCUUACAACACUAAACUUUCUGCCCAGUGCUCUGAAUGUCGAAGUGAAAAAAUUCAACCAAGCGUGGGUAAACGGUGGGACUCUCUUAGUGUAGCCAAAUGCCCUCGUCAUCUAAUAAGUGAUGCGCAAGAAUGGACCAACAAGAUUCCCACUUCUCCUAUCUACUAUCAAUCUAGCGAAACGACAGCCAGGAUGGAGCUCUGUGUAUGUGUGUGUGGCUUUACCUCGUUGUGCCAUACAAAUGUCUUUGUGGCAGCUCUUGUCGACCUGUGUGUGAAGGUGAUGGGGUUCCCCUUGGGCACGGUUCCCACACUGCUGCUGCUGCUAUUGCUGCUGUCGGGGGAUGCUUUCGAUAAGGGGACCCAGGCCUUGUUUGUCGUGCUGAUCAUGCAGCCGGAGGUAUGGGGCUCCAGUUAGUUGCUGGCUGAUGGAUGACUGGCAAGUGGUAGCAAUGGUGUUAACAGGAACCCCAUGGAUAUGUCACAUCUGUGCAGGACACCAGAUGCACGCCUUUCUUAGAAAUGCAGGACUGGACGUGCACCUUGUAAGGAGUACGGCACCCUGGGCCUGGCGAGCCACUCGGGCUGCCCCGGGAUGUUCUCCUGUACACUCUCUCCUCCCCGUGGUGCUUUCUGUGUCAUGAAGCCGUCUUUGUUCCCCCACGGUCCAAACCUGGCCCCUGCUGGCCCAAGCGAACAGGCGAGCUGGGACCCCUUAGACCCGCCGUGCCUGCUGGCCGAUAUGCAAAACCCGGCUCCUGGAAAAAAAUGAACUUAUGUGUGUGUAUGUGUAUGUUACAAUUUGAGUUGAAUUACUCUCCGAAGGCGUAACGGCCCAUAUGAGCCGGCGGCCCAAGUCAGCAUUAGCCUGCUGCUGCAUGGUAGCUAGGGCUUCCGGGGAGUGUGUUUGUGUUUGGAGUCAUCUGGAGCGGUUUACUGGGUUGCAGAGGUGCAAACAUCUAACACAGGCAGGCAGACAGACAGACAGAUAAACAGACAGAUAGACAGACAGAUAGACAGACACUCAGGCCUAUCUCAGUGGUGUAGCCACUCAUGCAUCCAGUCUUCGAAGGUCUCGGGGAUUCGGUGAGCUUCUUAGCGAUGGUGAUGUGCCCGCGGGGCUCGACUGCGAACAGGGUUAGUUUGUCCCGUCCUAAGUAAUUCGCCAGUAUUGAGUCUAUGGCAAGGUUGCCGCCGGUUGUCCAUCGGUGGCUGUUAGGCAGGUAGGCAGCCAGGUAGUGGCAGGCAGUCUCUUCGUUUUAUUGCUCCUGCCGGGGAUAGGGUUCGCGGCCGGGUGAUUUCAGACGGGUAAGGACUGGAAGACUGAUACAUAAUAUGCAUGGCUUCAAUCUACAUCGAAGUUGGGUGUCAAUUUGUGUGCACGCGAUGUGCACCAUGUGCCAUGCUAGUGCCCGCGCGAAACGCGGUGGAUGGCUCGGUUGUUGACCGUUGUGGGGUACGAGAUGCCCAGCUUCCAAGCGGUCGGCCUAACUCAUGCCGCUAAUGUUGGAAUAUCCCUUUAACCGUUGAACGGUCGAUAUAAGUUGAAUUUGUUUUUACCUGCUCCUCCACGUAGCUUUCUCUUCGCAUCAGUAAUUUAAUUCGCUCUGAGCUGACGCAAUUUUGAUUCAAGCAAAGGUUACAGAUGCUGCUUCAAGCC
rnacentral:lncRNA from 1 species